rnacentral:rRNA from 1 species
CCUGGCUCAGGAUGAACGCUAGCUACAGGCUUAACACAUGCAAGUCGCGGGGGCAUCAUGAAGGGAGCUUGCUCUCUUUGAUGGCGACCGGCGCACGGGUGAGUAACGCGUAUCCAACCUGCCCCCUAGUAGGGAACAGCCCGUAGAAAUGCGGAUUAAUGCCCUAUGUUCUCCGAAGACGGCAUCAGAUUCGGAGCAAAGGCCUUUUGGUUGCUAGGGGAUGGGGAUGCGUCUGAUUAGGCAGCAGGCGGGUAACGGCCCACCUGGCCUUCGAUCAGUAGGGGUUCUGAGAGGAAGGUCCCCCACACUGGUACUGAGACACGGACCAGACUCCUACGGGAGGCAGCAGUGAGGAAUAUUGGUCAAUGGCCGAGAGGCUGAACCAGCCAAGUAGCGUGCAGGAUGACGGCCCUACGGGUUGUAAACUGCUUUUAUGCGGGGAUAACAUGGCCCACGUGUGGGCCCUUGCAGGUACCGCAUGAAUAAGGACCGGCUAAUUCCGUGCCAGCCGCCGC